rnacentral:rRNA from 1 species
UACGUAGGAGACGAGCGUUGUCCGGAAUUACUGGGCGUAAAGCGCGUGUAGGCGGAUGGGCAAGUCUGCUGUGAAAGCUCCUGGCUUAACCGGGAGUGGUCGGUGGAAACUGCCAAUCUGGAGGACGGUAGAGGUAGGUAGAAUUCCCGGUGUAGUGGUGAAAUGCGUAGAGAUCGGGAGGAAUACCUGUGGCGAAGGCGGCCUACUGAGCCGGACCUGACGCUGAGACGCGAGGGCGUGGGGAGCGAACGGG